rnacentral:pre_miRNA from 1 species
AGUGCAAUUGUUGGAUUAUAUAGUAGAGUUUUUGGAUUUGUAAGAAACUUCAAAUUUUUUUCCAAAGUGGCUGUAUACUUUUGCAUUCUCAGCAGCAAU